CAAUAAAGUUAUUAAGACUUCGUAUACUUGUUAAUCUAAUUAAAUGUAAUAUUUUGUGAUGAGCGAGUUGGAGGCGGAGAAGAAGCGUGGUGAAAAGCUGAAUCAGAUACGGAAGGCGACUCAGGUGCAGUGCUGGUGGGCGAAUCUGGUGAAUGAGCUAAGUAUGCCGCAGCUUCAGCAGUUGAAGGCGGCGCUGGAGGACCUGAAGAAGAAAGUGACAUAAAAGAAUUAAAAUUUAUAUUUACGGGUAUGGGGAGGAGAUUUUUCCCCGCGGGGACGGGGCGGGGAUGGAGAGGGGAUUUUCCUUCGCGGGGAGGGGACGGGGAUUCUUUUUUAUCCCCGUAACGGGGACGGGGCGGGGACAGGGAUUGAUAUCCCCUACGGGGACGGGGACGGGGAUUGAUAUCCCCUCCCCGUCCCUCCCCAUUGCCAUCCCUAUAUAAGAUAAUAAAAGUGUGUGCUCAGUUUUAGAGUGUGAAUCUUUUCAAAUACAUUUAAAAAAAUACCGUUGCUAAGACUAUUUAAUAUUUUAAUUAUGGUUAGGAUGAUUUACUAUAAUACAAAUAUUAUUUUUUGUAAAAAUACGAUCAAUACAGAGAUAUGUGAAAUAUCUGUCAACUAAGAUUUAUAGAAAAAAUUAUAUUAAAUUGGAUGUAAGAGUGGGAGACUUUGUGUCACACAAUAUAGAGAAGAAAAUAAUGACUUCUUUGUCAAAUAAUUUCUUCAUUCCUAAUAAUUUUAUUUCCACCAUAUGUCCAUGGUUUUUCCGUGGCAGGUUAAUAUUUGUGUACCUUAGUGUUUGUUUUCUUCAGAUUUUGUAACAAUAAUAAUAACAACAAUAUGAAUGAAAAACAUGAAGAUUUUUACGAUGAA